rnacentral:misc_RNA from 1 species
GCUGAAGAACGUAGCGAAAUGCGAUAAGUAAUGUGAAUUGCAGAAUUCCGUGAAUCAUCGAAUCUUUGAACGCACAUUGCGCCCUCUGGUAUUCCGGGGGGCAUGCCUGUCCGAGCGUCAUUUGCAACCCUCAAGCCCGGCUUGUGUGAUGGGUGCCGUCCCCUACGGGACGCGCCCCGAAGGCAAUGGCGGCGUCGCGGUUAUCCGAUCAGCCAAAGUGUAUGGGGCUUUGUCACUCACUUUACGGCCCGGACCGGCGCCAGUCCGAAUCAAUCUUUUUUCUAAAGUUGACCUCGGAUCAGGUAGGGAUACCCGCUGAACUUAAGCAUAUCAAUAAGCGGAGGA